GGGAAACACAGCUACUCCAAAUGUGAUUUUGCAGUAUAAAUUGAAGGUUUGUGGCAACCCUGCAUUGAAAAGCUCUACCAGGAGUGGGGGCUACAGAUCAACCUGGAUGGUCACCUAAAGAUGGGAGCUGGUUGCCUGGGGAAUCAAGCCUGCCAUCUGAAAGUUGGAACUUUCAGCCUUCCCCUCUAACCCCCGUGAUCUCUAGGGAGAACAGAGGUCUGGAGAUUGAGUUGACGGCCAACAGCCAACAAUUUAGCCUAUCAUGCCUAUGUAAUGAAGCCUGUAUAAAAAUCUAAAAGGGCAGCAUUUGAAGAGCUUCCAGAUGAAACGACUAGGAAACUACUGUAAUAUCAUCAAAUAAAAUACUGGAUGGUUUCUUCUGCUCAGAGUUACAUCAAAAUCAAGUCAUUUAGAUGACUGCCUUAUUACCAAAUUGUUAUCUGUAGCCUGUGACUCGAAUUCAGUGAAGCCUGAAACUCACAAGUAAGCACUAUGGCACAGAAAGACUGAACUCCAGAAGAAGAACUCUAGACUGGCUAAGGAGUAGGAAAGACAACUGUUAAUGCUCAAGGCUUUUGAUGCUCUGCUUAAGAAAUUGUUGCCUACACCAAGAUCAUGAAGAAAUUUUUACACAUCUUAUUCAAGAAGUUUUAGGGAUGCCUGUGUGGCUCAGUCAGUCAAGAGUCUGCCUCCAGCUCAAGUCAUGAUCCCAUCAAGCCCCAGGGUGGGCUCCCCACUCAGCAAGGAGCUUCUGUCCCUCUCCUCCCUUCC